AGUUUACUAGAGCUUUCAUACAGGUGCUGCACGGCCGUCGUCAGCUCGUGUCGUGAGAUGUUGGGUUAAGUCCCGCAACGAGCGCAACCCUCGUGUUUAGUUACUAACAGUUCGGCUGAGGACUCUAAACAGACUGCCUGGGCAACCAGGAGGAAGGUGAGGACGACGUCAAGUCAUCAUGGCCCUUACGGCCAGGGCUACACACGUGCUACAAUGGGGUAUACAAAGAGCCGCGAUACCGUGAGGUGGAGCAAAUCUCGUAAAAUAUCUCCCAGUUCGGAUAGCAGUCUGCAACUCGACUGCUUGAAGUUGGAAUCGCUAGUAAUCGUAGAUCAGCAAUGCUACGGUGAAUACGUUCCCGGGUCUUGUACUCACCGCCCGUCACACCAUGGGAAUUGAAUUCAUUCGAAGCGGGGAUGCUAAAAUAGCUACCUUCCACAGUGGAUUUAGUAACUAGGGUGAAGUCGUAACAAGGUA
rnacentral:rRNA from 1 species